GAGGAGCCAAAAACACUAAGAAAAAAUAAGAGAGAGUUCGGCCAAGGCAAGGAAAACAUAACUUCUUGAAAUUUCAUCCCAAAAAUUACUUUCUCUUAGUAUUCCUACUAUAUCAAGGGUCCUUUAUAACAUGGUAAACUUAUUUUGGAAGAUAGAAGGCUUGUUUGGUUGAUUUGAAGCUUUGGUAAAGUGAAGAAGUUGGAAGGAAAAGAUUUUGGAGGAAACGGGAAUUGAACUUGGACAACCGUAAAAGGCCAAAAAGGUACCGAAGUUCGAUUUGCUGAUCCAUCUGUUUAGGAUAUUUGCUGCGUCGUUGACAGUGCUCCCUUGUUCGGAGCUUGUAUUUUGGUACUGACUUUAUCUCUGUAUAUUUGGAUAUUUUGGUCAGGGGUACGACGGGGCCCUGUCCCGUCAUAUGACUAUGCUAUCAUCUGUAGAGGUCUGUAGACAGAUUUAUGUUGUGGGUUUUGUAUAUAUAGUUUGGGUUUUGUGUGUUUUGUGAUGGCUUAUCAGCCCUCGUGCCUACAUCUAUUUUUUUGAUCUAUUUAAAAAUUCUUAUAAUCACUACCUAUAUUUAUUUGGUUAAAAUGGCUAAUUUGGGAUUAGGGUACGUUUGGGUGCCCAACUCGGGCACCAAUCGCGGCCUACGGGGUUGGAUCGUGACAGAGAUGAACCUUCAUUCUAAGAAAUAUCCUUUUUUCAGAGAAUCAACUGAAUUGGAUCAUCCUACAGUGAGAUAUGAUUUUUCUUCUACAAACACUCUAUUUCAUCACAGCACCAGGUUAAAGGAGUUCAUCGCCCUCAAAUUCGUCGUCUCAAUCGCUGCCCGAAAAUAGCUGAUACGCAGAUGUAAAGGAGGUUUACUAUAGGUUCCGGAGGAAGAAAAUAGGCUGAUAUACAAUCUAUAUACAGGAGAUACAGAAAAAGGGUGACUGUAUAUAUUGAUAUAUAUUUAUACAUAAUCAUGAUAUACAGAAACGAAAUGGGCCAAAGGCCCAAAAUACAGGUGGCCCAAUAUCUUAGUCCAGGUGUACAGAAACUAAGUAUUGGGCCAGAUUUUUGUUUUGUUUAUAUUGUUAUUCUAUUUAUUUGGGUUGUAAUAAUUUAAUUUAUUUAUGGUUGUGUAUACUUGCUUAGAUAUUAAU